UCUCCUGAGCCUCCGUGACCACCGUGUGUUGCUCGACGCCGCUGGCAAGCCGAUCGUCUCUCUCCAAAGCAAGGUCCCAUCAAUUAUUUCUUUGUUUUUCCUUCGUAUAGGAACAUUUUUUCUGCAAAAUACGUGACGGUUUGAUGUUAGUUACUGGUUGAUUCAGAUGUUGUCGAUGCAUAGGAGGUGGCAAGUGUUUAGAGGAGAAAGCUCAGACCCCAAAGAUCUACUGUUCAGUACAAAGCUGUCGUCCAUCAUUCAAUUGAAAACAGGGCUAGAUGUGUUCUUGGCAGCCAAUACAAAAGAAGAGAUCUGUGAUUUCAAGCUGAAGGGAAGCUGG
rnacentral:lncRNA from 1 species